GGAUGUGGAGGUGAUCUGGCUGCGACAUCUGUCACUCCAUUGAUCACCAGAGUUGAUUCGGCUGAGCUGGCUGGCUACACAGGUGUCCCCUUCCUCCCUUACUGCUCUGUGUGCCUCCUUCCCGAAGCUUCGCACUCGGCCCAAGAUGACCUUCCCCAAAAGAGGAGGACUGUUCUACAGUCAAGGGUAUACAGGAGUAGCUGUGUUCCCGCUACAAACAAGCUCUCAAGGUCCAUUAAAAAAAACCAACCAAACAAAAAACCCCCCCAAACAACAAAACACUUUCUAGUUGGGAAUGAGGGUGU
rnacentral:snRNA from 1 species